CCUACGGGAGGCAGCAGUGGGGAAUAUUGGACAAUGGGCGAAAGCCUGAUCCAGCCAUGCCGCGUGUGUGAAGAAGGCCUUCGGGUUGUAAAGCACUUUCAGUGGGGAAGAAAGCCUUGGGGCUAAUACCCUCGAGGAAGGACAUCACCCACAGAAGAAGCACCGGCUAACUCCGUGCCAGCAGCCGCGGUAAUACGGAGGGUGCGAGCGUUAAUCGGAAUUACUGGGCGUAAAGCGCGCGUAGGCGGUCUGAUAAGCCGGUUGUGAAAGCCCCGGGCUCAACCUGGGAACGACAUCCGGAACUGUCAGGCUAGAGUGCAGGAGAGGAAGGUAGAAUUCCCGGUGUAGCGGUGAAAUGCGUAGAGAUCGGGAGGAAUACCAGUGGCGAAGGCGGCCUUCUGGACUGACACUGACGCUGAGGUGCGAAAGCGUGGGUAGCAAACAGGAUUAGAUACCCUGGUAGUC
rnacentral:rRNA from 1 species